ACGGUCCAUAAAGAGAAAAGGGCAUCAACCCUAACCGCUAGUGCACGACGAUACAGCAGGGCAAAGACAAGCACUUUCUCGCUUCCUGUAUCUAAGAUUUCUGCUUCUCCCAAGGACCAGGCGCAAUGUUCCUUCCAAAGGCCCCGCGGAGUACGCGUCUUGACAGCUCCACCGCCCAGCGGUCUACUUCGCUCGGACCUGGACUUCAGGACAGGAUGCAAGGGACCCAAGGUCCGCCCACCCCAAGCGAGGCUACAACCUAGCGAAAUCUCCGCCCCAGGGGCUGCGCCCAGGCCGGCAACGGCCCCCUCCUCACGUCCGGCCCCCUCCCCGCUCCCCCACCCCCACCGCCACCGCCACACAUUUGUGCGGGCGCGCGCGCGCGCUCACACACACACACACAUACACACACACACACACACACACGCACGCACACGCACUUACCCGCCGCUCCGCGGGGACGUAGGGAGCCGCAGACCCACCCCUCCGCCCCCGCGCGGCCUGUCACUGCGCCCCCCGGUCGAGGGAGGCUGCGGGCCCCCGGGGACCGGAGGGGCGCACGAGGAGUCGGGCGCGGGCCGGGGGGCCAGGCCCGGCCCUCCUUCACAUGGAGCCCGCGCCGGGCGCAGCGGCGGACUCGUGGACUGCGGCGGCCGGCCGGGGCCUCUCGGCGCCCCUCGUUCCUUCUCGCCGCCGCGGCCCAGAGGCCCGCGGGAAGCUGGGCAGAAAAAGAGGAAGCCGCGGGCCGGGCGCCGCCGAGGCCGGAGAAGGGGCGGGAGAGACGACUCCGCGGCUGGGAGCCCCGGGCCUCCCGGUAGUAGUCGUCGUCGCCGCCGCCGCCGCUGCGGGCCGCAGGACCCCCGAACACCGCACCCAGUGACCGCACCACCCUCGUCGGGAGCCGCUGCUGAGGGUAGCCCGGCCGCCACUACACACGGACCCGUGACGUCGGGCGUAGCGCGGCGCACGUCACGGCCGGCUCUCUCGUGCGCGCGCAGCCCUCCGCCUGUCGGGAGCGGAACCCGCCGGGGGCGCGCUCUCGCCCAGAGCGCCGCGCGGAGGCCGAAGGGGAGCGUGUCCGCGCCUGCGCAGUGGCUGGCUGCGCCCACGCACGCCCGGUUGCACACGCCGGCUCGGUAG
rnacentral:lncRNA from 1 species